UACCCCAAUUACCAAAAAGGUGCUGAAGUUAACCGACACAGCAAUCAAGCAAGACAGCACGAUGAAUGCCUGUUAAUAUACAACGAACAUGAAAUCUCAAGUCAAACAAGGUAGAAAGAAAAUGUAUCCUGUCGACUGUUCCAGUGCAGGGAAUAUUCAUUCGAGCAAGCAUACCAGAACCAGAGGUUUGUAGUCGUAGGCGAACACGUUUUGUCCGGUGAGCAUCCGGUCCACAAAUGGGCCAGUCGCAACUAGAAUAGAUGCUUGGUAUGGAGAUGAUUGAUACAAAAGUUGCGUGGAGGAAACUUUCAACCUCUUCUGAAUCGUGAAAAUCUGAAACAGAAAGGAUACAAUUUGGCUAAUGCAUGUAGUGGCAAUCGCAAGAACGGAGACGAUGGAGCCAAGAAGAUUGAGGUUGAGAUCGGUGACCGAUGCAAUGCCGACUCCAAGCAGGAGGAGAAGCAAAGCCAGCUUGAUACUAUGGCUGCAAACAAAUUCUUAUUUCGGUAAAUUUCAAACACCAACAUAUCAACUCAGAUAAAAAGUCUUUCCAGUGAACCUGAAAGUUUUCUUCAAGAACAGAGUCUCCAGCAGGACAGUAAAAGAAUCCAAUGGAGUUGAAGCCGAGGCUGAGGUUCAGGAAGCCAACGGAGGUGCCGUUAAGGAGGCCAAAGAGAACCACCGUCUUCGUGUCGAUUGAUUUGGACUCAAAGAAGCGGAGGCGCUGCGCGACAUGGAGCGUGCAGAAGGUCACCAAUAGAUGCCAGCUUGUUAGCGUUGUAGCUGAGCUGAAGCUACUGACCGAAAGGGAAGCCAAGAGUGCUCAUGAGAGCUUUGUUACAUAUGACAAUCGAAACCGAGGAGGCAACCGAAAGAGCCAGCGACCCGAC